GGCGUCGUAUCGGUGGAUUUGUCGCGUUUUAUCACCUCUAUUUGCAUUUAGGGCACAUUUUCGCUUACUGUGACCUUGUUUUAGGUAACAUGAAGAUGAAUGUUGUUCAGUCCCCCUCGGCAGAAAAGUGAUUAAGCUUUCCCUCAUUUCCUGCUGAGUUUAGGCUAGUCCGGGUGGUAUUUAGUAGCCCAUUUAAAGGUACUGGGGCUGGCUUGAAGGAGGAGCUUUAUUAGAGUAUACAACCAUUUAGUACUGUUCCUUUUGAAAUACAAUAAUUCACUAGGAGCUGCAACUGCAUGCUGCAUGUGAAAAGUCAUUCUACCUCGAUUGCCUGCAUAAGCAAAUGAAAGAAAAUAAACGCAUGGAGCGGAUCAGAUGAGCCUCACCAACUGACGUCCUUUGGUGGAUUAGUCUUCAUGGCCUCGCCCACCUUGGCUUGCGACGGCCCACGGGAAGACACUAUUCAUUUUGCCGCCAGUUGACCAUCUCGGUAGAUAGGAGCAAACAGCCAGGUGCUUACAUGGCAGAACAAGUUCGUACCUGUGCUAUGUGUGGCGAUAACAAAGCCACGUUGCAUCUCUUGCCCAAGAAAGAAGAGUUUAGGAAGAAAUGGUUGGAAUUUAUCUUUGGAACACCACCAGCGAAAUACAACUCCAACUUAGUUCUGUGUUCUAAUCAUUUUGACCACAGUGACUUUUCCAACUUCGGUGCCUACAGUAGUGGUUUUGCUUCGAGGUUGUUCAUAAAACCUGGAUCUGUACCGUCACGACGAUCGACCGCCAGCUCACGGACUAGCACAUUGGUGACCCCCCCCAUCCAUACCAGCACACAAACAGAUCCACCUAGCCUUUCAUGUCGGGCUACACUGCUUGCUAUGGGUACAUUAGGUCAUCCUGCUAGAAGCAAAGGUACCCAAACUGAAUCCUUCAUGAAAAGUAUGAGCAUUUCCACGAGUACUUUGGAUGCACCAUGGGGGCCUGCUACCUCCAUGCCCGUGAAGCAUGUUCAUCCAAGGCCAGCUAAAAGACCUCGGGUUGGGGGGGAGGAGGAGGAGGAGGAGGAGGAGGAGGAGGAGGAGGAGGAUGAAGAUGACAUCUUCACGAUAAAACCUGAACCCCACGACUCCACCUAUGAUCCAGCGCAGUCAAGGAGCAAUGUGACAGAAUCAUUACAGCCCAGUGAGCCCACGUAUGUGCUUUUGGCUGUCAAUUCAGCUAAACGACAAUGUUUAUUGACAUAUCCUUGUGUUAAUACUUUGCUUGUUAACCUAACAUUGUGAAUGUCUAUAAUGCCAUUUGUCUCAAACAGUGAUACGUCUUCAACUGGAUACAAAGACUCCAAGUGCAUCGUAUUGGAGAAGAACCUUAUGGAACUUUUUGAAACGUGUCCAGUCUGCAACCGAGUGUCAGAUGUGAGGACCUACAAACGAGGAACAUAUUUGUCGGUCGUCCAAAAAUGCAAUCACUGCCAGUAUUCCAAGCAAUGGAAGAGCCAGCCAGUGAUGGCAGCGUCCCUGUAGGCAACAAUCAACCGUCUGCUGCCAUAUAUUUCACCGGCUGUUCAUAUUGUGCAAAGGGUAAAGGUACACUCAACAUUUGACUGUUUACAGAUUGAACAGUAUUUAUCUUCUCCAACUUUUGGCGUAUUUCUAAGUUCCAGUUCCUGGUCUGACACAGCGAUAACCCUCCUGCUGAUGGACUGCUCGUGUCGGACGCAGGGCUCUUGAAACAUCUCCCCUCCCCAUCUGCCUCAACUUUACAUUACAAAAACUGUCAAGUGGCAGCAUGGAAUGAGCAACCAUGUGUAUUGAUGAGCAACAACCUCAACCUCAGGGCCAGACAGUCGCCAAACGGACCUCUUUGGUGAACCACAUGCAAGGCAGACGUAGCCAUGACAAAACUCUCUUCCAUCAAAUGCCAACAUCCAGUCCUUUAGAGCAGAGAUCGCAAGAUGUGGCUUCUACCAGGGCCCGGUUUCCCAAUAACGUCCACCCUUAGCACGCUGCAAAGGCUCCUACGUUUACACUUAUCAAAGUUGUUUACCUCUAUAGGCAUGAUUCCCGAACGGUCUCUUAAGAGACUUCUUAGGAAACAGUCCUUACAUCGCUGUCCAGAAAGAAAGUGCUGAAAUCGAUUGCUCAGAGUUCGAUUUUCCAUUUCAUGCGCAGGUGCAU